rnacentral:rRNA from 1 species
AGGGGAAGUGGCGCGACGGGUGAGUAACACGGUAGGACAACCUCGCCCUCGGAGGUAGGGGAAAUAACCGAACCGGGGAAACCGGUGACUAACUACCGCAUUAUUGUUCUUUGGUAUGCAUGUACUGAAGAUGAAAGCUAUAUGCGCUCGAGGAUGGGCCUGCGGUGGAUUAGGUAGUUGGUAGGGUAACGGCCUACCAAGCUAUCGAUCCAUAGCUGGUCUGAGAGGAUGAUCAGCCACACUGGCACUGAGACACGGGCCAGACUCCUACGGGAGGCAGCAGUGAGGAAUAUUGCGCAAUGGGCGAAAGCCUGACGCAGCCACGCCGCGUGGAGGAUGACACCCCUCUGGGGCGUAAACUCCUUUUAUAUGAGAAGAAACCCUCGUUCGUCGAGGAUUGACGGUAUCAUAUGAAUAAGCACCGGCUAACUCCGUG